AACGGAGAAGAGAGACAGACGUAGGUGUAUCGGUAACAUAUUGUGAAAAAAAAUAGAAAGAGAGAAAUGAGUGGUGUCAAUAGGGUGAUUGUUGCACUAAGGCAGGUGCUCAUACUUCAUGUAUCAUUUCACUUGAGUCUUACACAGUUUAAGUCAUGUUAGGCUCAACUCAACUUAUCUUCUUUGCGUUUAAAACUUGAAGAGUAGGAAAAGAAGGUCCACUGCCAUUUUGUAUUAUGGAUUUAGGNUCAAUGAAGUUUUUAUGGCUCCGUAGUUCUGUGUCUGCUAGCCUCCGGAAGAAACUCCAAUUUGCAUGAUUUUACACUUCCAAUUGUCAAGCAUCAACUCUCUCAAAAGCUUAAAUGUAUGUCAAAAGGGUUUUAUUGCAUCUCAAAAUCUCCCAUCGAAGACUCGUAUGAGCUUGAGUUGUAAACAAUGUACAAGCCCCUACCCUAAGCUUGAAUUCGACUUUUUUUUUUUUUAUUUAGAAAAGGGGGACCUUAUAUCCUUUCGUGAGCUAACUUAAAAGCUUAUGCUAUUAUAUGUAGGCGAAUAGAAUCAUAGAAUGGUUUUAUCAAACAUCUCUAUAGAAGAACAUAUUUUAUCCAUCUGUACGUUGUUGAUAUAUUUUUUUGGGUUUUUCCUUAACAAUUUUUCUUGUGUGUUUUUGUGUGAUUGUGGUAGUUUCUCAUUCCUACCCUACCCAAUUAACAAGGAAGAAAUUUUGGGAAAGUGGGGAGUGUCCUUUACCCCAUAGGCUAACUUUUGAGGUUAGAGUAUUGCUUCCUCCAUGGUCCCUAUACCUUUCUACAAUUUUUUUAAUUACAAAAAUACCUUUUAAGCUUUAACCUUUUUACUUUAACCUUAUUUAUUUACCUUUUUUCUGAAAUCCUAAAUCAUACCUCAUUUUCACUCUUGCGCAACCCCCCCUAACUCUCACUCUCUUCUCUUUUUUGCUUUGUGAUGGGUGUUGCCGCCCAAUCAAAUUUGAUUGCAUAUAAGGAAUGCAGUAUAGACUAGGGAAUGACCUCUAGGUCGUCUCUCAAGGACCAACUGCGGUUCGAGACUUAGGU
rnacentral:lncRNA from 1 species